UUUAAAUUGAGAGUUUGAUCCUGGCUCAGGAUGAACGCUGGCGGCGUGCCUAAUACAUGCAAGUCGUACGCUAGCCGCUGAAUUGAUCCUUCGGGUGAAGUGAGGCAAUGACUAGAGUGGCGAACUGGUGAGUAACACGUAAGAAACCUGCCCUUUAGUGGGGGAUAACAUUUGGAAACAGAUGCUAAUACCGCGUAACAACAAAUCACACAUGUGAUCUGUUUGAAAGGUCCUUUUGGAUCGCUAGAGGAUGGUCUUGCGGCGUAUUAGCUUGUUGGUAGGGUAGAAGCCUACCAAGGCAAUGAUGCGUAGCCGAGUUGAGAGACUGGCCGGCCACAUUGGGACUGAGACACUGCCCAAACUCCUACGGGAGGCUGCAGUAGGGAAUUUUCCGCAAUGCACGAAAGUGUGACGGAGCGACGCCGCGUGUGUGAUGAAGGCUUUCGGGUCGUAAAGCACUGUUGUAAGGGAAGAAUAACUGAAUUCAGAGAAAGUUUUCAGCUUGACGGUACCUUACCAGAAAGGGAUGGCUAAAUACGUGCCAGCAGCCGCGGUAAUACGUAUGUCCCGAGC
rnacentral:rRNA from 1 species